rnacentral:rRNA from 1 species
UACAGAGGUCCCAAGCGUUGUUCGGAUUCAUUGGGCGUAAAGAGCGUGUAGGUGGCUCGGUAAGUCCGCUGUAAAAGUCCAGGGCUCAACCCUGGAAAGCCGGUGGAAACUGUCGAGCUAGAGUACUGUAGAGGAAGGUGGAAUUUCCAGUGUAGCGGUGAAAUGCGUAGAUAUUGGAAGGAACAUCAGUGGCGAAGGCGACUUUCUGGACAGAUACUGACACUGAGGCACGAAAGCGUGGGGAGCAAACAGG